rnacentral:rRNA from 1 species
GACGAACGCUGGCGGCGUGCCUAAUACAUGCAAGUCGAGCGCAGGAAACUGACGGAACUCUUCGGAGGGAAGGCAGUGGAAUGAGCGGCGGACGGGUGAGUAACACGUAAGGAACCUGCCUCAAGGAUUGGGAUAACUCCGAGAAAUCGGAGCUAAUACCGGAUAGUUCAACGGACCGCAUGGUCCGCUGAUGAAAGGCGCUCCGGCGUCACCUUGAGAUGGCCUUGCGGUGCAUUAGCUAGUUGGUGGGGUAACGGCCCACCAAGGCGACGAUGCAUAGCCGACCUGAGAGGGUGAUCGGCCACACUGGGACAGAGACACGGCCCAGACUCCUACGGGAGGCAGCAGUAGGGAAUCUUCCACAAUGGACGAAAGUCUGAUGGAGCAACGCCGCGUGAGUGAUGAAGGUUUUCGGAUCGUAAAACUCUGUUGUAAGGGAAGAACACGUACGAGAGGAAAUGCUCGUACCUUGACGGUACCUUACGAGAAAGCCACGGCUAACUACGUGCCAGCAGCCGCGGUAAGAC